rnacentral:misc_RNA from 1 species
UUAAGUUCAGCGGGUAUCCCUACCUGAUCCGAGGUCAACCAUAAGAUUAGGGGUUCUGGCAAGCUACCGCAGGGCUCCAGAGCGAGAGUUGUACUACGCUUAGAGCCAGACGGCGCCGCCACUGUCUUUAGGGCCGGCCGCGACGGGCAGGGCCCAACACCAAGCAGUGCUUGAGGGUUGAAAUGACGCUCGAACAGGCA